GAUGAACGCUGGCGGCGUGCCUAAUACAUGCAAGUCGAGCGGAGCGUGCGCGCGUGAGUAACACGUGUGUAACCCGCUUUAAGACUGGGAUAAAUUCGUGGAACCGGUGCUAAAACCGAUUCUUAUCCAUGGAUGCGCGCUGUAUUAGCUGGUUGGUGAGGUAACGGCUUACCAAGGCAACAAUGCAUAGCCGACCUGAGCGGAUGAUCGGCCACACUGGAACUGGGACACGGUCCAGACUCCUACGGGAGGCAGCAGUAGGGAAUCUUGCGCAAUGGGCGAAAGCCUGACGGAGCAAUGCCGCGUGAGUGAUGAAGGUCUUCGGAUCGUAAAACUCUGUUAUUAGGGAAGCGUUACCUAAACAGAAAGCACCGGCUAACUCCGUGCCAGCAGCCGCGGUAAUUC
rnacentral:rRNA from 1 species